rnacentral:rRNA from 1 species
GACAGAGGGUGCAAACGUUGUUCGGAAUUACUGGGCGUAAAGGGCGCGUAGGCGGCCCGCUAAGUCGAACGUGGAAUCCCCGGGCUCAACCCGGGAACUGCGUCCGAUACUGGCAGGCUUGAAUCCGGGAGAGGGAUGCGGAAUUCCAGGUGUAGCGGUGAAAUGCGUAGAUAUCUGGAGGAACACCGGUGGCGAAGGCGGCAUCCUGGACCGGCAUUGACGCUGAGGCGCGAAAGCCAGGGGAGCAAACGGG